UGCCCAGUGUGUGAGGUGUGGUGCUCCUUCGUGUACCUUCCUGUACUGCAGAAGCCAGAAGGCAAAAACCUGCACUUCCCAGAAUCCAUUGCAGCCAGAAUGUGACUUCACAUUGGCCAAUCUGAUCCAGGCAAGAUUUGGAAUACGGAAGUGAAGUGGAGACCUCAGUUCUGCUGCUGCCUAUGAAAUUUUUCGCUGGAAUGUUCAGUUCCAAAAUAGACUACCUGCACCCAAGUCCUUCUCUCAGGCAUUGCUUUCAAGGAAACGCAAACUGUGACAGUGUGGUUCCAUUUGUGUGCAGUUCAAAAACAGGUCUGGUGACUCAGCUUUUUGCCAUAAUUUUGGCUACUCUAAUGUUGGCCCUGAUCAUCAUCAGAAUCCUAGAAGUUUCAAAUCCUGCUUCAAGAAAAAUUUGGAUACACUGGGGAAAACUAACAGCCUUUCAUGGUCAUAAGAGUUUACUCCCUUCAGAAUGCCAGCAAUUGCUAUGAGAGUGAACGCAAGAGCUCCCAAACAUUUCUUAUGCUCAGGGGCAAGAUGCCCUCCUACAUCCCCAAAACCUAAGGUGAAACACACAAAUCAGCUGGCAAGCUGUCCUGAGCUCCAUCUGGUGGAAAAAUGUUCCUGCCAUCCUGAGCAGUGCACGGCAGGGGGGAGGCAGCAGCUGACCCUCUGGGUGACCUGUUAUGACAACCUGACAGCAGACCGGCUGGACUCUCCAGACUGUCACCAAAUAUGUCAUGGAAUGCCUCUCAGGCUCAAUAAUUUAAUUUUCUUUACAUAAAAUAAAGAGUUGGAUUGUGGUUCUCUUUCUCUCCCCCCAUGCACCAUUUACU